AUUCCUUAAUUUGGACUUGAUAGUGUUUUCUUCCUGAUAGAUUCAGGAUGAACAUUUUUGGCAUGAAUAUUAUAGGAAUGUAUUUUGAGCUUGUCAUAUCAGGAGGCAGGCACACUAUGUUGCUGUGGUCCAUUACUGAGGAUGUUAAGUUUGGUCAUUUGUUGAAAGUGGUACUGUCAGGUUUUUCUUGAGUACAGGUACCUUUUCCCCUUUGUAAUGAAGCAACCUGUGGACUGCUAGUUCAAGACUGAGUGUAUAUAUCUUCCCCAGUGGUUCUAGUGUCACUGAUGAUUCUUCUCAGAAGAUUCCAAUUCCAUUAUACAUGUACAUUUAUUACUCUGCACUCUUCCAAAAAGAGCUUCAAAUGUUUUUUGUAUCAAUGUGGACUUGACGAUUCUUUUUUUAAAAUUGAUGUUACAGUGCAUUCCAGUUAUCAUGAUUUUUGAUCCUAAAAUUACCCUGAAUUUGGCCAGUAGGAACACUUUCACGCUUUCUUUCUUCAAUAUUUUGACCUAGAAUCUAUCAGCUUUUCAGAACUUUCUCCUUGUUACUUUUAAGGGAGAAUGGUAUUUAGAAACCAAAUCUGGUGCUAAGUGUGUUCACUACUCAUGGGGUAUCAGUACUCUUAGGCUCUCUCAGUGUUCAGAAAUAGAACAAAAAAAUUUUAAAGAGAAGACCAUACUGAUCCAAUAAUUCCAUUCCAACACUCCAAGUUUCUCUCUGUUAUUCAUCCUUUCCAUAUUUGUGUCUCCCUUCACCCACAGCAAGAACCCUGGUUUCCAACAAUAUACUUUAUAUUUAUUCAUUUGCUCAAUCUUAUAAUACACACAAAAUAGUUUCAAAAUCACUACUUUCAAUACUACCAACAACAAACUAGUAAGUCACAUUUAAGCUUUCUUUGUAUUCUUAUAACCUUUUCCAGGGACAGACAGUGUGCACAAAGCACUGAAUUCAAAGUUUACUUGGCUUAAUGUUUCGUGGCGACUUUACACACAGCUGAGUUCAUUUUUUCUCUUUAUAUUCAAUUUGAGAUGAUUUUCCCAUUGUAGUUCAAUAUUUUUAUUACCUAAAGCACCUUCAUAAAUAUUAAUGGUGGGAUAUAAUGCUUCAGUUAUUGGUAUUUUACUUCUAAAGUAUUUGUGCUUACCUUCAGACUUUAUAAGGAAUUCUUCAUGGAUCCCAUCAUUUUCACUAAUAUUACUAGUAAUUUGCUCUUCCCUAGUAUCCUUGCACACUGGAGAUUUGAUGUACCAUCUCCCGCCCACUACCUGCCAUGAAUUAUCUAGGUGUGACCACCCCCACCACACACACCAAAUAUGAGCUACAAGCUGGGACCCAGGGAUUUUAAAUCUGCAUUUCUAUUUCCCUUAGCCCUGGCCAUGGUAUUUGGGGUGCUCCUGUGAUUCACAUCAGCUCCAGGCAGAAAUGACUCAGCUAAUUCCAUUUUGGAAAGGAACCAGGGGUCCUGAUCCUGGUGCACAUGCAAUCCAUCUCCUGGGAGCUCUUCAAAUGUUGAUAUUUAUUUCCCCUUCAUAGACUAAUGAGAUCAAAAUUCUGGGUGUGGGCCAACACACACACACACACACACAUACAUACAUACAUAUAUAUGUAUGUAUGUAUGUACGGCUUUAGGAGAAGCUUAUUUAUCAGGUUUGCAAAUCCUGGGCACAAGAUUCUCAGCUUACCUCCCAAUUCAAAUGGCUAUUGAUAUAAAUCUAUGGAAGAACAUUUCCUCCCAGAAAUGUAUCAAGAAUUUGUUAUGCAUUCAUGAGCUAUUAGAAAUAAUUUAAAAUCUUAUAUAACUUAAAGGUACUCAUGGAGAACAAAAUAGAAAUUAUAUUUGGUGGUGCACUGAUGUUCAUUUUCAAUUCAUUCCUCAUCCAAGAAUUGGUGACUCUUUGGCCCUUUGUAGUUAAGGUCUUUUUCUUCUUUCUCUGCCUCCAUUCCAUGGUAUUUCUGUGUUUUCAGUAUCUUUCUUACUCCUACACAGCUCUGUGGACAUCACAUCUUUGAUUUCAGGCCCUUCUCCAAGCACACAGAUUAUUCUCAGUGUCCACAGACACUGAGUCUAUGUAUCAUCAUGUUUCCUCAGAGAUACUUCCCUGCUGCUCAUUGCAGAGGGUGUCUCCAGCUUUGCCCAUGAACUCUCUCCCAGCCGCCCUCCAGCCCUACUUUCCACCAUUCUGUUCCAAGUACAAGCUCUCCAUAGCAUUCUGUGCUGGUGGCCACAUUCUGCCCAGCGUGACAGAAGGAAUUAUUUCCUGAUUGAUGUCUGAGUUAAAUAUGAAUCCUCUAUGGAGCAGAAACAUAGAUAAACAUAAAGAAUCGAAGUGUCUUUCUGUAAACUUCUUUCUGCCCAGCUGCUGCAGGAUUCAUAUCAUCACUUCUCACCUGCUGGUAGGGGUCAUUACCAGCUUUCCUCCAACCCACUGGCUUCCACUUCUGCCUCUCCCUGGGUCAGUGGCAGGCCUUGAUUUAUCUCCAUGUCACACGGAUGGCUGGCCAGCUCUGCCUGACUGACUCAGGAUCAUCUUUAUUAUUUCUCUCUGUAUGAUGCAGAGUUCCCUCUGACUGUCUUUUCUGGCAGCUCAUUUAUAUGAGAUAUUAAUGCUCAUCUCUAAGCAUCUCAGCGACCCUUUGUGGGACUCUGGGGGCUGCUGAGCUGAGGACAAUGAGAA
rnacentral:lncRNA from 1 species